GCCAGCAUGGUGUAGUGGUUUGAGUGUCAGACUAUCACUCUGGAGACCAGGGUUCAAAUCUCAGAACAGCCA